UGAAACCUGCAGUGAAGAGUAUGGACCAUCUUCAAUAGGUAACUCAUAGACUUUGAAUUGUCUCCAAGGUAUUCAGUUCAGUUCUGUUUGAUCUUUAAAGAACCACAUUCACUAGAGGCAGCGUGUUUUUUUUCUCUUGUCCUUAAAUGGUCCCUUAGGCUAGAUUUCACUCUGUACUCAGUGGAUACAGUAAUUCAUGUGCUGCGAAAGAGCUGGUGCUUGUUGUAACUUAGCAAGGGUGUAUGAUGCACUCCUACUUGUGAUUGUCAUGCCCAGGGAUCAGUCAUUGUGGGUGAAGGCCCAGGUGCCCUUUGAACAGGUAGCAGAAGUUGUCCUCACUGUAUUUCCAAAAGUAUGUUUGUUUUGGAUACUACUUUGGAUACUUUUCAUGGACUGCUGUAGUGACCUGUAAAUCCAUCUCACCGGGGGGCAAGAAGCCUUUGAAUGGGAAACGCCCAUCUUCCCCUCUAUAGAUGGAGAAGGGGACGGAAACAUUCACACACGCACUCUGUCUGGUGGUUAGAGCACAGAGGUAUAAUCCCAGCUCUGAUGCUGACUCCUGCUCUGGCCCACAGCAAGUCACUUUAAAAACUGUGCCUCUGUUUCCCCCGCUGUAUUUAAGAUGCUUUAUUUACAAUACAUGGUGCUGUUCAAUUUGAGAUCUGUGUUGAGGUGGUUGUCGUCUCUCUGUGACAGUAACAAAAUAAACUUUCACACUGUGGUGCCAGUUGAUAGGAGAAAGCGUACCUGGUUCUGACUGGAGGAGUCUGGGAAUUUUUCAAUGUCAGAGACGAAAGUGAUGGGCAGGAAUUGGGAUGUAGCUGCCUGCUGCAGAGUUUUGGAUCACUUUAAUUCCACUGGCCCCAGACGUGAUGCGUUGUCAUAAACACCCUGCUUUAGAUUAUCCUUUGUGUGCUUAGCAAUGCUCUCAUUUGUCAUCCUCUUGUGAUUUGAAAGCGUCAGAUAUGGAUAUACCUCUCUGUGGACAGAAUCUAUUACAUGUCUCUGCCAAGCAGAACCAUGUUGCCUGUUUUAUUUCCCCUCCUGUCUCAAACAUGCAAUCUGUUCUUUGUCAGUGCUCAGCUAGACACAUUGUUGAGCACCAGUGGGACUCCCUCUGCAAAGAGUGGGUCCUGUAGCUGCUUCUCUUCUUAAUUUCAUUAUCCAUCUCUAAUGAGUUUUUAAUGUCUUAGCUGAAUUUAUGGUGCUGAGGACUUCAUGCACUUUCAGUUUCUCUGGCAGCUUGGCAGGAGAGUUUGACUGAUGGGGUCCCAGGUUCUUCACGACCUAGAGGAGAACUAGCCUCCAGGGUUGCAAAUGACACAGGAUCUGUGUUUGCCAUUAGCAGGUUCCUUUGGAGAGUGAGUGACAGAGCUUUCAGCUAUACUUACUGAGUUGUAGUCCUAAAUUAUAGUAAUUACAGGUUCUUGCUCCAUGAAAAAGUAAAUAGAGAAUAGGACAGCAAUUGUACAUACAGUUUUGCCCCUCUAUGUCCUAUAUUUUUCUUUCUGUCCACUUGCGAGCAGGUGCCUUUCCUGAGCUGCUGUGCAAACACCAUCUACGCACAAUGUUAAAUCCAAAUCUUUACGCUUCAUGGGGUUUGACUUCAUUAACUAAGACGUGAGCAGUAACACAACAAGAUUUAACUCAAACCUCCUCCACAGGCAUGGCUGCUCCCAGGGGUCCUUUCUCAGAAAUGUUCAGCCCACACCCUAGGUCCUGUCCCUCAGAGAGCCACUCUCAUUUCCCUUGGAUUCAGGUGGGAUAAAAAGCCAUCUGCCUCAGUGAGUCUAAUCCAUUUAACACUUUCUCUGCACGAUUUAGCACAUGCUAUCUGGGUGGAGUGUCUCAGGCAAACACUGCCAACUUGUUACAGCUAAUCUGUCUUCUGCUGCCAGUCUCUAGGGUAUUGCUCUCCUGUCUCCAUUUUCCCAAAGAGUGGCUCCUAGAAAUAGCACACGGAUCGUAGGGGUAGGGGUACAGCAGCCUGGGAGCUGUUUGUGAGGGGCACACUCACUCAUGUCAGUUUUAAUAGUCAGUUGAACAUAUGCUGUUUCUAUUAGUCAGUAAAUCUGUCAGGAGAAGAGUUGAGACAUUCCAAAGUUUAAAAGUAAUUAAAGUCUGAGUAGUUCAUAAAGCAGGAUGCAGCCUUAGGUGCCCUGGCGAGGCACUGAAUGUUGCAGGUACUUGAUAAAAAGAAUCCAGACGUUCAGGAAAACAACGUGGACCUUCUCUAGAGUAUAUCCUAGAGACACAAAGAACAAAUAAGGCACUUGCAGCUUAUUCCUCUGGGGAUGAAUGCAAGAUAGUUCUCUACUGCAUGUUCUCCGCUGUGUUGUCCAGAGUGGUUUUAAAUGUCCUCGCAUCAUGGGGCUUCAACUAUUUCCCUAGGUGACUAAUUCAGAGUCUAAUAGUUCUUGCUGUUUGGAAAUGCUUCCUGAUGUCCAACCCAGUUUUUCCUUUCAGCUUAAUUGCCUCCUGUCUAAUUUCCUGCUUCACCUUCCUGGAUUCUGUAGAAUAACAAACCAUGAUUGCAGACACUAGUCACUGGUGAUGAGCAGCCACAGGCUC